UACGUAGGUCCCGAGCGUUGUCCGGAUUUAUUGGGCGUAAAGCGAGCGCAGGUGGUUUAUUAAGUCUGGUGUAAAAGGCAGUGGCUCAACCAUUGUAUGCAUUGGAAACUGGUAGACUUGAGUGCAGGAGAGGAGAGUGGAAUUCCAUGUGUAGCGGUGAAGUGCGUAGAUAUAUGGAGGAACACCGGUGGCGAAAGCGGCUCUCUGGCCUGUAACUGACACUGUGGCUCGAAAGCGUGGGGAGCAAACAGG
rnacentral:rRNA from 1 species